AUAGACGGGCGUGAUCCGAAGUCCACUGAAGUCAAUGGUAGUCUUUCCAUUGACUUCAGUGGGCUUUGGAGCAGGCCCCUAGUUU
rnacentral:pre_miRNA from 1 species